GUAGUGAUGUGUCGGUCGCGAACGAUCCGGCUCUAAGAGCCGGCUCUUUGAAGUGAACGAUUGGAACCGGCUCCACAAUGGGGGCCGUUUUAGGAUCCUAUUUGGGAGCCGGGUUUUUUUCUACAGUAUAUCGCUGUCUCUCCGCCUCCCUGUCGUUGUGCUUGUGCUCUGCAAGUGCCAGAGCCGAUAGUUUUUCCCCACAUCGUUUUUUUUGUCCUGCGGUGCCUCGCUGUCUCUCCCCCCCUCCUCCUCCCCCUUCUCCCUCUCCUUGCGCGUUUUGCUCUUCUGCCAGUGCUAGAGCGGAGAGUUUUUUCCCUCGGUCGGUCCACUGCCCUUAUGUCAAGCGUGUGCUCCACACAUCUGACCAAUCACACAUAGUUUCAAUUAAUAAUGUGGCGGGAAAACACUGAAAAAAAAGUUUAUCUCCACUUUUUUUGUGGAAACAGCAGGCAAAUGGCCAAGCUGUAUAGCGUUCGUCGGCAGGUGUUUAUGUACAGACACUCACUCAGCGGUCAAGAAGCACAGAAAGAAGGGGAGUCAGUGUGAGAACUGAAUAGGUGAAAAUAAAUGAGUGACAGAAAACGGAGCAAGAUUUGGACUCAUUUUAAUGCUACAUGAAGCUCCAGGGCAGAGUGCAGACUGUGCAAAGUCAGCAUUUCCUAUCUGCAGGCUCGACAAACAACCUGCACAGGCACAUGCGGACAUCACACGCAUCGGUAUUGCUAUAGCAUUGUUAUGCGGCAUUUUUACUCAUCAUAAGUGCUUAACAAUGUCAAUAAUGAAACAAAAUAUUAUAAAAUUAGGUUUAAGCUAUUAAUUAAUUAAUAAUGUCAAAAAUAUAUAUGGGGAGCCGUUUGGGAGCCGAAAGAGCCGGCUCUCCACAGUAAGAAGAGCCAUUAGAGCCGCAUCUCGAAAAGGAGCCGAAAAUCCCAUCACUAGACUGUAGAGCUGCUGUUGCCCCU